CUGAAAUUACCAUAAGAGGUGAUUGCCAAGAAGAAGGGAAGAAUGGAAGCUUCAUAACAGUUCUGGUGAAGUUCCCAUUAUCAUUUCAAUGGCCGGCCGGGCAAAAGAGUUCAAAUGGACUGUUGGAAAGCUGUCAAAUGAAAAGGUUUUAGCAAUCAGCGAUAUGGGAUUUGGCAUGAAGAUUCAUGGGAGGCACUUGAUGAUCAGCAUGAAGAUUUUAAGCGGGUAAUGAAUGUAAGGGAUGAGACUUGUGAAGUAGAACUAGCUGGUUGCUUGGAUGAUGCAGAUAUCGUGCAACUGAAGAGCAUGAUAUGUGGAAGUGAUAGUGAAAUCAAUAUUGACCGCUUGUGGAAGUGAUACCACUUUAUUAACCUAC